GAGGGGAGGGAGCCAACCCUAGUUCUUCAAGAAUCUUCAAAUUGAAGCUCAAUUCAGGCCCUAAAUCGAUGCAUGAACACAUAAAAACGAUCACCAAGCUUAGGGGAUCAUGAGUUUAACGCUUAACAAGCUAGGUGUGAGCUUGUGGAGGAAGCGGGUCAAACGGAUCAAGAACGAAAAGAAAAGCAUGGUUUAGAUGCAAGGUAUAUUAUACUGCAACGGAAGACGAUCAAGCUCGAAGAAGAACCGAACAGAUGAAAAAGAAGCUUCCGCACAUUGUUCGUCAUUAAUUUUUAAAUGACAAAUCCUUUUACAUCAUGUUGUGUUACUUUUAAUGUAAAAGUUUUAAAUAAACCCGUAUUUUUAUAAGUAUGUGCUAUCGGAAUUAUGCAUUGGUUA